CCUAAGCAAACACGGUUCAUUCAGGUUCCCUCUUCAUCUCUCUCAAUCGACCUUUCCACUCGCCAUUGAAGCAAACACGGUGGUUCUCAUGAAGCAAAAACACAACGAACAACAUUAAACCUUCAUCCCCAACAUUACCCUAAACCCCUAAUUCAUUAAGAUUUGGUUGUCGAUUCUGCUGUUGUUCGACUUAGAUACCUCUUCUUCUCCGAUCUGCUUUUCUCCGUCUAUCUUUAUGCGAUUCUGCUGUUGUUGUUCUGCGAUUUGGUUGCCGAUUUGUUCAGGAGUUUCGUAAUUGGGAAUCCCCGUGGGCUCUUGAAGCUUUGUUCGUCAUUGUUUUCAUCACCACGGAAUCUGCAGCUUCCUCCAAAAUAAUUACUACUGCUGAUGUCCAUCAGUUUUUCGACGACAUUAAGAAUAAGCGUCACUGUAUAAAGAUAUAAGACAUCAAAUGAAACUACUUGGCUAAGAAAGAAUUUUAUAAUUUUGCCUCUGAUUCAAAGGUGAUUUUCCACUGCAGCUUCAGUUUAUAACAAGUGUAAAUGUUGUCUAUUGUUCUUUUUCUUUUUGUGUUCUCAGGAAUUAGUUUACAUACAUGUCUUAUGUUUAAAAUAUCAUUUUUUUUAGGUGGAUGUUGUUAGUUGUCAUUUUUAGUUUAUGUAUUAUGAGUCUAGGAGAUAUUACAUACAAUGCACUAUGAUAUUUGCUAAUAUUACGCAAUCUCGGAUAUAUUAAAAA